rnacentral:rRNA from 1 species
UUUAUAAUUGGCUCUGUUCAGUAUUGCAAUCUAAAGCAUGCGUGGUCUGCCUGUCCCGUCUUGAAACACGGACCAAGGAGUCUAACAUGUGCGCGAGUCAUUGGGAAAGUAAACCCAAAGGCAUAAUGAAAGUGAAGAUUCGAUUACGAAUUUGAGGAGAGAUCAUGUCUUUUGAUUGGUAUUCUGUAAAGUUUACUGAUGAAAGUAUGCGCAUCUCCUGGACGUCUGUACCUCUGAA